GAAAGAAAUUUUCAAACUAUUCAUGGUUGAAAAGAUAAGAAAAUCCUCCAUUUCAAUCUUCAAACCUUGUUGAUAUUUCUUCCUUCAAAGUCUUGUUCAAAAACCUUAAAUUUCUCUAAGUAUAAUAUUCUAAAGCUAUUCUCUCUUUAAAAUAUAUGUAAAAAUUCAUCAAACUCCUUAAAAUAAAACAUAAAAAUUCUUAAAUAGUAAAGUAAACACAAGAUGACACGACGGCCAUAUGGGAAGAGUACACAGUCAUGUAACAUGAACUAAUUUGAAAUGCAGAUUCUUGUAUGGGGUCACACAGGUAGCACAUAGGGGCCACAUGGGAAGAGACACCUCCCUGUGUAAGGUAGUGUAGGAAUAGACAAAAUGUAUAUGUGACCCACAUGGGAAGAGUACACAGGGGAGUUGGCUUCCUGUGUCAAUCUGCUGUUGAUUCUACCUUUUUCUAGCCUCAGAUCCUCAAUUUGGCAUGGUGGGGUUAGCUUCUCGUGUGCCUCUCGUGCCAUUAUUAUGACUUGUCCUUCUUUGCUCUUUUGGCAUCAUUUGUUAUCCUUUUUGCUUCUUUAACAUAAUUUAUCCUUUAGAUUGCCUAAAACAACUGUAGAACACAUUGAACAAACAUAUAAAACUCAAUUGGAGGGUGAAAAUCGAUAUCACACAAGGCAUAACUAUAAGUGCCUUUAGCAUUUAUCAAUUGCAGUUUUGGUCUAAGUUGUAGAUAGUUGAAUUCUCGGUCUUUCCAAGUUCUGGCACUGGUCUGAUCUUUGUUGACUAAGAAAUUAUCUCCAACCUAUCACUCUUGUAUCUCUUCUAAUCUAAAGGAUUAUUUAUAUGGCUUAAAAAUAAAAAGUUAGAGUGAUGCACAUCAAAUGCACAAUACAUGGCAAAGACAAAGAAUAAACAAGGCAUUAUAUAAUCAUUUCUCCUACACACGAUUCAAGGUGAGUCUCUUUCCUAGGAUUUUGGGUCUGGGCUUACUAUCAACAGGGUAAAGUAAGUACCGACGUGCAUGUCAAUAGCUCUCAAAGCAGUAAAUAAACAAGGUGGUUUUUUUCAAUAUAAGAGAAAACCCUACACAUUAUGGACUGAGGCCUUCUAAGAUGUGAGCUUCAAACUCUUAUAAGAGAAAGUACCUCAAAUGACAAGCAAUUAAGUACCUAGUGGAGAUUUCUACUAUCAUUAUCAUGAGUUGAAUCUUGGAUAAGGAUAAAAAGCUCCUACAACAAUUGCUCUUCCUUUGGUCGUCUCCCCACUCAAGAGUCCAUACAAUGGAGGAAGCUUACUCAAUUGUGAGUGAUGAUUAGCCAGUGUUGUAAUUCCAAAGUUUGAAUGGAAAUAAAGAACUACUAGCUGGCGCCAUCGGGGCUAUAGGGACCAUUGUGCAAAAUGUGUGAUAAUGGUUUAGUGAUACAAGAACAGACUAAUAAAUGAUAGAAUAAAAGAUAAAAAAUACACUAGAAUGAGUUGCUCUUAUCCCAAGCAGAGUCGCCAUUGUGGGCGACGGCUUUGGGCAUGCAUCCAAGUGUCUUUAGUGACUAUAACACUGCAAGGCUUUUCAACCUAAUCAAGAAUAAGCUAACCAGUCAUAGAGACUAGAGUGGUGAAGGGAGUCACCACUUGAGUAAUCACGAGGAUGCUUUUUCUAAAUUUGUGGCAUAACUAGAUUCCUUAAGGAAGCAUCACCACAUCUACAGAUGGAUCUGGAUACCAAUAUCCUUGAUUGUGUAUUCCUACUUUAAUUUUAUUAGUUAAUAACCUAUUCCCUAUAAAUGCAAUAAAAUAUUUCUAUAGAUAAGCAAUACAACAUGGCAUGGGUUCGCCUAGUUCUAGCCCAAUUUUAUUAAGCCUAGCCCAUCCUUACAUGUUAUUUACCCUAAUUCAUUUUUCAUGUUUCAUGCAAACUCACUUAGUCUAGCCCAAUUUGAUUUAUUAAGUCCAGACUUACCAACUUUUAGUCCUAAAUGGUCUAUUUCUUAUGUAUAAAGACAUGUUUUAAUUUUCUAAGUCUAAAUGGUCAAUUUGUUAAUUAAACAUAGCAAAGCUUAUCUAAUUCUAGUUAGAUUGUGAGUUAUUUUUAAUUAGCAAUCACCCAUCAAUCAAAUAUUUGUCCAAUAUUUUACAGAUUAUAGAAAUACAAAUGAAAAGAUAAAAGUAGGAAAAUAAUAAAAUUACAUCCCUCUAACUUAGAAUAAAUAAAAAGUAGCUAAAACAAACGAAAGUGGCAAAAUCUGUCAAAAACUAUAAAAAUGGGCAAGCAAGGGUUGAACAGUCGAUCGGCUGUAGGGUAGAGCCGAUUGGCUUUAUGGGUCCUUCGGGCAACAAAUCAAUCAUUUUUUUGGUAUUUUCAUUAGUUUUGAAUAAAAAUCGAGCUCCUAACACCUAAACAUCCAUUCUAACAUGUAAGAAAGGCAAAAUCAAUUACUAUGGAAUUAAAAAUUGAUGAAGUAGGCAAUCAAAUGGUAAAACACGGGAUCCAGGUUUAACUACGAGAAAGUAGACAUUUCAGGCAAAAGUUACUAUAUUUUAAACAGAAGCAACUAUAUAUGUAAAAUCCAUUGAAUUAUCAUAUUGAGAUCAAUUGUUAUUCAUAAAUAAACAAAAAUAAAGAGAAUCUAUUAGACCCUAUACAUGCUGGCUAUUAAGCAAAGAUUAGCAGUAUUUAUUAGAUAGUGAGAAAAAUAAAAGGCA
rnacentral:lncRNA from 1 species